GCUCCUCGUGUUCUCAGGCCUGCAGCCUGCCUGCAGCCCGGGUGGCCUGCCUUUCUCACCCUACUGCUUGCUUGCUUGCUUGUUUUUUUUUUUUUUUUUUUUUUUUAAGGAAACUCUGGGGCACCUGGGUGGCUCAUUUGGUUGGGCCUCUGACUCUUGGUUUCGGCUCAAGUCAUGAUCUCCGGGUCCCGAGAUCGAAUCCUGUGUUGGGCUUUGCGCUCGGGGAGUCUGCUUGGGAUUCUGUCUCUCUCUGCCCUUCCCUCUGCUCAUGCACUCUCUCUCAAAUAAACAAAUAAAUAAAAUAUUUUAAAAAAUAAAAAGGAAACUCUGUUAAAAAGAAGAUCAACUUAAAGCAAUAUACAAUUAGACCUAAGAGCAUUAUCUAAUUAGGUUUGCAAUGAUCUUUAUCUUCUUGGACCCUUGAUUUAGGGCUAUGUGAAGACACACAGUAUGCUGGCGACAAAAGGUUGCUGAGAUUAUACAAGCUCCUGUGAAGUCAGUGACAGGUUUUGCUGCACCUGAUCAGUUGAAAAUGAUGUUUAUUGUUCUCUAAUAAAAACCUGGGGGGGGCGGGAAGGAGGUAUUACUGACCUAUGUGAAAAAAAGCAGUAUGAAUACACUCAAAGUUUACUUACAAAAUCACAAAAAAUAGACACUCCAUUUCCAUGAUGGCUCAGAGACCCAACAGGAGCUGAAUGACAGUUAAAAACAAACAAACAAAAAACUAGAGGGAGAUCGAGAUAGAAAGAGGUCAGUCAGCACGGAGUCCCGAGGCUGAAUGUAACAAUGCCUACCGAGCUCCACCCAGCUGAGGGGAUGGGCCGCCAUCAUUCCCCUAUUUCAGUCUUGCAAGACUUCCUGUGUCUGAGGUGAUGUGUUCCAGCUCCAGUUCCUCACAGGCUCUCCGGUACAGUCCUGGUGAGCUGGGUGGGCAAGCCUACUCAAAGACUCUACCUCUCCUCAGACAAUGAUCGUAAUGUAAUUGGGUGCUGUUACUGGAAAAAAAAAAUCAAAAUGCAUGUCCGGCUUACCAAAGGUGGGGACACCAUCUGUCUCACAUCCAUGCAUGUCUCUCUGUUUUCUCUCUAUCCAGCUAUAAAACACUGGCCAUUGGAGCAAACAUACUUUCUUCCCUUUCUCCGGGAGCCAAAGGAAAAGGCCCUUUUUUAAAAUAGGUCUUAUGCUGGGUGUCUGUCUCCCCCAGCCCUGAGAGAUUGCUCCUGCUUUCUUCAGGUCACAGAUGGAACAGGGAGUGAGGUUGGAGGCGUUCAUGUCUCCAAACUAAAAAGUGGUAGACCCGGGAUUUGAGCUCUGAGGUUCAGUUCACAGAUCUUUCUCGGUACCACAGUUUUCCCCAGGGUGACAUCAAACUGUUUUGACUUUUUGUCUAUAUUCUUUUUGGCUUGGAUUUUUUUCUUCAGUGGUAGUUACCAGAAAUAUCUAAGUAGAUUAUAGUCUUUUUUUUUUUUUUUCUUCAGUAAGUGCCUUUAUGUUUACUAACUCAUUUAAUUCUUACAGUGAUACCUAAAGCCCACCUGGCACCUGGAAAGAACCACUGACAUGUGUUUGCUCUUAUGAGCAUCAUCAUGUCUCUCACAUGGAGUGUCUACCUCACAUGGGUCUCCUUGCCCAUCUGCCUUGGUAACUUGGUUGAAAGGGUUGAUAUUGUAGAAACCUGUUACAUCUACAUACCCAUUAAAUUAUAUAUGCCAUUCCCCCAGUGAAUCUGUCUCUCUCUCUCUCUCUCUCUCUCUGACUUUGGGGAGGAACUCAAAGCUGACAACAAAUCUGUAUAGCUCCGUGCUAGAUGAGAUCAAACAUCUACUAGCUCCUUGAGCUGACCAGCCCAGGUGACAGGACAGGCCAUUAAAUUCUGCCCCCUGUUCCUCCCUAGGGCUGAUGCACACAUCUUUAUAUAUUCUAGUGAGUAUUUUUUGCUUUUCUUGUCAUUUACUUGUGAAUCUUUACUCCUGAUGGUCAUUCCUAUUGCUUGGGGUGGGAUAGUUCCAGGAGGGAGAGGGAGAGAUUUCCCUAUCAAUGGCCUACUCAUGUUUAUCCUAAGUAACCUACAGCUAGAAAAGCUACGUAUAACUUACAGUCCACACAUACACUCUGUUUAGUAUUCCUCACCAAGACACUGUCUAUUCUUUUUUUUUUUUUUUUUUUUAGGGGAUCUGAAAUUUUAUUUAAGAAACUAUUAGGCAUAGUUUCAAUUAGGAGCAAUCUAGUAACACUCCAAAAAGAAAUAUACUGGUGGUAUUGGGUGAAACAUAUUCUGAAGAUUUUAUUACAAUGAAGACACUGUCUAUUCUUAUUCAUGUUAAUUAUAGUCUAUAAAGUUGCUGUGAACACUGAAUUAGCGAAUACUGAAUCAUUGUUCCUGAGAGAAAUACGGGGCCCUGUUCCUGCCUCUGGUCAGAGGACUUUCAUUAACAGAUCAAUACAUGCCCUUGUAUUAUGUAUGUUUCUGUCUAAAGACACCUUGUGUAAUAUAUAGCUGAUUUGUUAAUAUUGAACUCAUGGCCAACAGCCCUAUAACUCACACCUGAAUGGAGAUUAUGUAGCAGAUGAUUUCUCUGGAAGGCACAUUACAGCCUUUUUGUACUUAGGUGCACAAUGUAGCACUUUGGCACUCUACUUAGGGGACAUCUUAAACAUCAAAAUCAUCAGCAAAAAGCACAAAAAUGUAAAAAGCAGGGCACUAAAUAUACUGCAGAAAGGACAGUUGUUUACAGUGUAAGAGCUGAAACAAGAGGUGGAGGGUGAUCUUCUUUGACCUUAGCUGAGAACGUGAACCAUUCUGCCUAUGUGCCCCAAUGACCUGGAAAAUUUUCAUGAGUAUUGAUUUCAGGGAUACAAAUACAUUUUAGUGAGUAGGCAAAAUCUCAAAUACGGAAUUUGCAGAUAAAUGAGAAUCAGCUGUAAUUCGUGUUCUCACUGGGAACAUUCCCUCCCACCAUAGCUUUGCACUUGGGCUCAGAGUGUGAUUUCCUUGGGCCAGCUAAUAAAGGUACUGUGAUUUUAAUUUGUUUCUUUUCUGAGCACUGCUUUAAGGGAGGAAUUACUCGAGCCUUGGUUAUUAUAGUCUUGAAUUUCAUCUAUGUCUCAGCUGUUCCCUGGAAAGAAAAUAUAAGAGACAUGCCAUUAAUUUACAUGUUGGAAUCUACAGUAACUUUAGGAUUAAAGUAUACAGCAUGCCAAACCAAGUGAUGAGGAUAUCACAAGUUCCUUGACUUCCCAUGAACCUUUAUGUAAAUGUACUUUAAUAUUUAGAAAUAUAAAUAGCAAUAUAGUACAGUAGUUAAGACUGCAGAUGGGAGCCCAACAUUGGCUCUGACGCUUACUAACAUUAUUUGAGAUAGUUUACAAAACCUCCAUUUCUCACCUAUAAAAUGAUGAUCAUAAUAUACCUCUUAUAGGGUUUCUGCAAGAUUAGAUGAGCUAAUGCAUAUAAAGUACCCAGCAUAUAUGUAUCAUACACAUGUGACAUACAUAUAUGUGACAUACAUAUAUACACACACAGUAGAUAUUAUUAUUACUGGUAUAUAUACAUAUAAAGAGAGUGACAGACAUAACAAAGGCAGAAUUUUAUGCUGUGGACUACUGUAAACUCUAUGAGAUGUGUAACAGGGUUCCAUGUUUGCUUAUUAAUUCCUUUUGUAACAACAGUUUAUUAUUCAGAACUGUGACUUUCUGGUGUUCAGUUUUAGAUGGAAUGAGUGUUUUCUCCUGUUUACUUUUUGCAUAAAGCAGUCCUUCUCCUCACACUUGACAGUGAGCUACCAAAUCCAAGUGGCCGCUGUGCAUCUCAGAAGUAUUUUUAGUGGUUCUUACUCAGCAGUACAUCUUCUGUGGGGGAUCUUCUCGUAGAUUCCCCGAAGCAUGGAAGAGCACAAUUAGGAAGACACCGGCCAGUGGGGUUCCUCAAGCCACAGUAUGCAUUGCCAAUGUUUCUGUAUUUCUCAGUAUAUCUAAAAAUAUCCUUUAUCAUAAGAAAAACCCCUCUUCUUAUUUAGUAAUACCUUAUCAUGCAUAUAGCACAUAAUGAUAAUUAAAUCGGCAAAUACUCAUUGCAUACUUAUUCCAUGUAAAGCCCUGCUUGGCCCCUGAAGCAUACACACAUCCUUAAAUACUUUUCAUUUCCUUGAUGCCGUUCUCUCUGACCUAUAUGCUCAUAGCAUUCCUCUUGGUUCAGUGUUAAGCCCGUGGAAACUCGCUCUACCUCCAGCCAUUCCACAUAACUGACUCUCCCUGAGGUUAUUGAUAAAUCCUUGUUGCCCAAAUCCCGGGUGAUUUUCAAUUCUCAUUCCAGAUGACCACAUUAAAACACAGGGGUUGUAGUUACUCUGAAACCCCCAUGAACUUGUCUCCCCUCUGGGCCUCAGAAACACCUGUCCCACCCGUUUCUUCUCCCACUUCUCAUAACCACUUCAUUUCUUUUCCUUGUUCCUCUUCCUGAGCCUACCCAUAAAUCUUAGUAUUUCCCUUGAAAUGGCUGGAUGUCUUCUGCUGUUUGUUGUCCUCAUGCCAUCUCAGCCUCUCCCACAUUCAUCUUCAGGUCAGUCUCUCAAGAUGAUUUCUUAGCUCCAUUCCCCUUAGCUCCAGACUCUUCAAAUUCUAAUUAAAUAUUUUCAUAUGGAAAUUCUUCCAACUUCUGCUUGGUUGAAACUGAAGUUAUCAUUUAUUUCUUCAUUAAUCCAGCAAAUAUUUAUUGAGCCUCUACUCUUUGCUGGCACUGGAGAUUUGGUGGUGAAUCUACUGGGGCUUACAAUCACGGGUGAAGGGCAGACAUUGACAAAGGAAUGACAGUGAGCCAGAUGUGCUGAAUGGGGACAUACGUAAUUGGGGGAUUUAACCUAGAUUCUAAUGCCUCCAUAUCUGGAUAACACUAUAUGAUGCAUAGUAUGCGCUCUGCACAUAUUAACUGGCUGAACAUGACACCUGCCAUACUUGGUGGUAAGAGGAUGGGUAGAACUCAGCCAGGUGUGGUGGUGGAGAUGACAGGGCAGUACAGAGAACAGUGUGUGCGAGGCAUCUGUAGGAAAGCGAGAGUGACAUAUCCAGGAACAUUUGAGAACCAGAAACCCUGGAUGAUUGGAGAUUGGAAAGCAAACGGGAGAAAGGUGUGAUAUGUCUUAAAAACCAUGUUAAUGAUUUGAGGUUUCGCUCAAAGGAUGGUAGGAAGCCAUAGAAGGGGUAUAUAAUCCCUGUGGUGAAAAAGUGCCUCUGGCUGGAGGGUGAAGUAUUCAUUGUUCAGAGGAGUUUGUUGGAAAGGCUGGUGGGCGAAUAUGGAUGUUAGGAGAGUAGUCCUGGUGAGAGGUGAGGGUGUUUCAGCUAGGUAGUGGACGGUACAGAUGGAAAAACUUGGAUGCGUUGAUGAUGGCAUUACCAACAAUAUGGACAACAGGCUAAGAAAACCCUUACCUUGCUGCAAGAGACUCUGACCCUCUGUUAAACUCCUAGUCCGGUUCCCUGGGAACAGAUGAAGAUAGUAUACGCCAAUGUUACCAGACAACAUUGCUCAUGGUAAUAGUGAUCUGUGAUUGAUAAAUUUCAACUAGAUUGGGAGGGAAUAUGACUGAACUCUAAAUGUGUGGUGGGAAUGCCGUGCCCUGGUGGGGUUUCCGGGAGCUAUGCUUAAGGAAUCAUUAGGGGAGAUUUGGGCUCCUCUAGGGCAUAAGGCUUCCUGUAAGCCAGGGAAGCCUCAACAUCUGUACCAUAUGGAUCUCAUCUCUGGGCCUCUGGGCUGUGUUAUGAUAAGAGAAGGUAAUUCCCAUACCACCGUAUUGAGCUGUCAUCCUCAUGAAUUGCUGCAAGGACUCGCAUGCAGAGGAAAGUCUGGUACCGUCCUGCUGCCAAGAUGUGGUUCCAGCCUCCUUUCCUUCCAGGGAGACUAGUGCCAAAUGUCAGCUCAAAGGCUUAGCGGGGUCCCUGCUGCCCCAGGAGUAUGAGCAGCAUUUACAGAAAUCCUUGAUUAAGGGAUGAGUGAAGGGCGGGAUAGAUUCAAGGAUGAGUCCCAAGUAUGAAUCCCAAGUUUCUGAUUUGAGUAAUUGGAUGGAGGAGACAGUGUUUUGUGGCACCAAUUGUCUCCAUCUUUUUUAAAAAUGAUUUCUUCAAAGAGGGCCAUGGAGAUGGAGAAAUUUGGAUGUGUUGUGACUUUGUCCCUUUUACCUGGCAUUGUGUUCCUUAGCUUCGCUUCUCCUUGAGUAACUCAUCAUUUUUCCAUUCUUCUGUUAGUCUUCCAAAUUAUCUCCUUUAGGGAGCCUUUCUGAAAUUCUUCUGCACUUCCUCCAUACUGCAAUACCUUCAUCGUAACAUCACGCUAUUUCUUUUUUUUUUUUUUUUAAAGAUUUUAUUUAUUUAUUCAUGAGAGACAGAGAGAGAGGCAGAGGGAGAAGCAGGUUCCCAAGGAGCAGGGAGCCUGAUGUGGGACUCGAUCCCAGGACCCUGGGAUCAUGACCUGAGCCGAAGGCAGACGCUUAACCAUCUGAGCCACCCAGGUGCCCCAACAUCACGCUAUUUCACUAUAAGUGUUCUUGUGUCUCUUUUCUUCAGAUCUCUCUGCCUCUCUCUUUCUCUCUCUCAUUACUGUAUCCUCAAACUUAGGUUAAGGAUUGAUCCCAAGAAGUUUUUUUUUUCUUUGAAUAAAUUGAAAAUUAACAGAGCCACAAAUAAGGGGAGGUGGGGACAGAGAAUAAAAGAGAGAGACAGAGAUAGAGAUCCAAGUUUGGAAUCAGAGAAUUCUUCAAGUGGGAAUGAACAUUUGACCUGAGCCUUGAACAGCUAAUAUUUAGAUGUGUAGAGCUUGGGUGUGAAAAUCAUUUUGGGUUUGGGAGGGCUAAGCAAAGGCACAGAGAUGAAAAAAUAUCUGAUAUGUUGAAGGAAUGUAUUUGUUUCAUUUUCUUACUUCAGAGCUCAUUCUCAGCUGCUCUUGAAUCCAUCCUUGGGGAGGAUUUUUUUCAAACUACUCAUUCAUCGUGUACAUUAUUUUACUUCACUUAUUUUAUUUUGCUCAUCUUUAGAUGUUUGAACAUUAUAAAAUAUUUUGCAUUGUUUUUUUAUUUUUCAACAUUAAAACAACUAAAAAUAUAAUGAAAAAUAUAAAGGACAAAAUAAAAAUCCUUCAUAAAUCUAUCAUUCAAAGACAAUGUCUGAUGAUAUUUUGUUGUAUUUCUUCCUACAUUUUUAUGAGGGAUAGAACUUUUUUUUUAAAUCUUGGUUUAUGAAUCUUCUCUGGCUAUUUUGAUAUUUUGUCUGUAGAAAGUCCGCAUUCUGGUAUGUGUGCACUCGGCUGCAUUCUUUCAGAAAAGAUUUAAGUGAGUAGAAGUCAUCAUUUUCUUAUAAGCUAAGUGAGCAUUACCACACAGCAAGAUGAAUGUGAAUCUCCUAUUCCGACAGACCAGGAUUUGGAUUCUGGCUCCAUUUCCUACAAGCUGUAGUAACUUACACAGGUUAUUUGGGCUCUGCCUUGGUACACUCACGUGUGUGGUAAGGAUCAUAAUGCCCACCGAUUUUCUUUAUGGUGAGAAGGAGACAUAAGGAAUGAAACGUGCCUGCGACUGCAGGCCAAGUGGGCAUCCAGGCAUGCCCUGUGCAUGCAAUGGAAGCAAAAGAUUGAAAUAUCCAUCUUCAGGGGUGCCUGGGUGGCUCAGUCGUUAAGCGUCUGCCUUCGGCUCAGGUCAUGGUCCCAGGGUCCUUGGAUCAAGCCCCGCAUCGGGCUCCCUGCUCCGCGGGAAGCCUGCUUCUCCCUCUCCCACUCCCCCUGCUUGUGUUCCUGCUCUCACUGUCUCUCUCUCUCUGUCAAAUAAAUAAAUAAAUAAAUAAAUAAAUAAAUAAAUAAAUAAAAUAUUAAAAAAAAAUGAAAUGUCCAUCUUCAGAACAAGAGAAAACAAUGCAUCUGUCUUGGCUAUCUUAAAGCAUUAGCUGCGGAAUUUUUAGAAGGAAGUUGGCAUCAUAUGAAUCAUCAGUUCUGUGUUUCGUAGGAGUGGCAGUUCUUUGUACAAAACAUUUAGUCUCCCCCUCACGUGGCAACCAGGGGUUAACUAAUCUUGCUAGUAGGAGUGUGUGAAACUCAUUAAUAUCAUCCAUCUGGUGUGGCUUCAGAGGUGAACAAAACUGAAGGUCAGUAAUAUGAGUCAUUUUCUCCAUUCACCGUCAGACUCCGAGCCAUAGUUUGCGUGGUCUUUCACCUGGAGAGAUGAACUAGAGCCCUGUGCAUUGAGCAUGUGGCCAGAGAGCCAAGCAGAGACAGCCUGAGUACUUUAGCAAACAAGGGCUGAGUAAAACCAAAUGCAUCCAUAAACCUACCAAAUCAGCAGGCACAUGAGAAAUAAUAACUAGCCCUGCUUAUCUCCUCCUAACAGUAACACUGAAGAUGAUGAAACCAGUUCCAGUAGGUGGGGUAAAUUAGCAAUUGUACCUGAAGAUGAAUGUAAAUAAUUACAUAAUUCUAAGCAGUUCAGUUUUGAUUACACCAAGAUUACGACCUGAAAAUGAGAGUCAUGAAAAUGACUGGCAAACAGAAGAUUGGUAUGAAGUAAGACCCUUCUUACUUUAAUUAAAUUAUUGGUGAGUCACGUUCAAUGAUCGUAGACCACAUGCAGACCUUCUCAAAACAUCUUUAUUAACAAUGAAAAUUGUAUGUGAUCUGUAAGUGCAUGGAUUUUUUUAAAUCAAAUAU